rnacentral:pre_miRNA from 1 species
CGGAACAACAACAGUGGCAGCGGCCAGCUGUACAGCCCUGGAGUCAGCUCCCGCAGUAACUAUGGCAGCUCUCAGUCCCCAGGGGCCUGGAUGUUCCAGGGCGAG